UACGUAGGUGGCAAGCGUUGUCCGGAUUUAUUGGGUUUAAAGGGUGCGUAGGCGGUUUUGUAAGUCAGUGGUGAAAUACUCUAGCUUAACUAGAGGGGUGCCAAUGAUACUGCAGAACUUGAGUACAGAUGAGGUAGGCGGAAUUGACGGUGUAGCGGUGAAAUGCAUAGAUAUCGUCAAGAACACCUAUAGCGAAGGCAGCUUACUGAGCUGUAACUGACGCUGAGGCACGAAAGUGUGGGGAUCAAACAGG
rnacentral:rRNA from 1 species